GGAGUAGGGUAGAUGCGUCAAGUGCCAUCGAAUGGGAGGUCGUCGAUGGACGAAGCGAUCAAUGGCUUAGCCUUUGGUUACGCGGUAUCUACUCGCAGCCGCU
rnacentral:ncRNA from 1 species